rnacentral:rRNA from 1 species
AUUGAACGCUGGCGGUAUGCUUAACACAUGCAAGUCGAACGGCAGCAGCAGAAGCUUGCUUCUGGCUGGCGAGUGGCGGACGGGUGAGUAACGCGUAGGAAUUUGCCUUAAGGCGGGGGAUAACUCGGGGAAACUCGAGCUAAUACCGCGUACGCUCUACGGAGUAAAGGAUGGGAUCUUCCGGACCAUCCACCUUAAGAGAAGCCUGCGUAAGAUUAGCUUGUUGGUGAGGUAAGGCUCACCAAGGCGACGAUCUUUAGCUGGUCUGAGAGGACGAACAGCCACACUGGGACUGA